rnacentral:rRNA from 1 species
ACAUGCAGUCGAGCGGUAGAGAGAGCUUGCUUCUCUUGAGAGCGGCGGACGGGUGAGUAAUGCCUAGGAAUCUGCCUGGUAGUGGGGGAUAACGUUCGGAAACGGACGCUAAUACCGCAUACGUCCUACGGGAGAAGCAGGGGACCUUCGGGCCUUGCGCUAUCAGAUGAGCCUAGGUCGGAUUAGCUAGUUGGUGGGGUAAUGGCUCACCAAGGCGACGAUCCGUAACUGGUCUGAGAGGAUGAUCAGUCACACUGGAACUGAGACACGGUCCAGACUCCUACGGGAGGCAGCAGUGGGGAAUAUUGGACAAUGGGCGAAAGCCUGAUCCAGCCAUGCCGCGUGUGUGAAGAAGGUCUUCGGAUUGUAAAGCACUUUAAGUUGGGAGGAAGGGCCGUUACCUAAUACGUGAUGGUUUUGACGUUACCGACAGAUAAGCCCGCUACUCUGUGCAGCAGCCGCGGUAUACAGAGGUGCAAGCGUAAUCGGAUUACUGGCG